AUACAGGCUUUUUUUAAGGCCACUUAUUGAUAGAGUCCCACUGUGU
rfam:Macaca mulatta chromosome 14, whole genome shotgun sequence.